rnacentral:ncRNA from 1 species
UUUGACUCAACACGGGAAACCAAAGUCAUGGACAGGAUUGACAGAUUGAUAUCUCUUUCUUGAUUCUGUGGGUGGUGGUGCAUGGCCGUUCUUAGCUGGUGGAGUGAUUUGUCUGGUUAAUUCCAAUAACGAAUGAGACUCUGGCAUGCUAACUAGUUACAAAACCCCGAGAAUAGUUGCCUUGAAACCAUGUUUCAUUACAGUCAAUAAAAAUUCAUUUUUCUUCAGUCUCCUGUCUACUUAGAGCUACGGUUUUCCUCCCCCUGCCCACUUUACCUAUCAGUUUUAAAUUCAUCAUCAAUGUACUCUUUACCAAAUAAC